UACGUAGGGUGCAAGCGUUGUCCGGAAUUAUUGGGCGUAAAGAGCUCGUAGGCGGUCUGUCGCGUCGGGUGUGAAAGCUCACGGCUUAACCGUGAGUCUGCAUCCGAUACGGGCAGGCUAGAGGCAGGUAGGGGAGAACGGAAUUCCCGGUGUAGCGGUGAAAUGCGCAGAUAUCAGGAAGAACACCCGUGGCGAAGGCGGCUCUCUGGGACGGUACUGACGCUGAGACGCGAAAGCGUGGGGAGCGAACAGG
rnacentral:rRNA from 1 species